CUCUGCAGAGCAGAGAGAAUUCAUAUUUUCUGUGCAUAUUGCUAGUCAUGGAGAAGGAAGGGAAGGAGAAAUCUGCAAGAAAACCAAAUGUAGAUUUUCUGCGUGUGCUGGUUGUGGGGUGGGAACAGGGGAGCACGGACUGGACUGCUAGACCUUCUCACACCAAGAUCUAGAAACUGAUGUCAGGUCCAGUUACUGUAGCAUCUGCAAAGAAGUGAUAGGACAGCCUCUGGUGAGUUCAUUCCAGCAGGAGAUGGAGG